AGAUUGAACGCUGGCGGCAUGCUUUACACAUGCAAGUCGAACGGCAGCGCGGGGCAACCUGGCGGCGAGUGGCGAACGGGUGAGUAAUAUAUCGGAACGUACCCAAGAGUGGGGGAUAACGUAGCGAAAGUUACGCUAAUACCGCAUACGAUCUAAGGAUGAAAGCAGGGGACCGCAAGGCCUUGUGCUCCUGGAGCGGCCGAUAUCUGAUUAGCUAGUUGGUAGGGUAAAGGCUACCAAGGCUACGAUCAGUAGCUGGUCUGAGAGGACGACCAGCCACACUGGAACUGAGACACGGUCCAGACUCCUACGGGAGGCAGCAGUGGGGAAUUUUGGGACAAUGGGCGCAAGGCCUAGAUCCAGCAAUGCCGCGUGAGUGAAGAAGGCCUUCGGUUGUAAAGCUACUUUGUCGAGGAAGAACGGUGGAGACUAAUAUCGUACCCACUAAUGACGUACUACGAAGAAUAAGACACCGGCUAACUACGUACGCCAG
rnacentral:rRNA from 1 species